CUGAAACGCGAUACUUGGCACGAUAUUCAUAGUAGCGUGAUGCAGUCAGCAGAAGACAGUCACAAAAUUUUGCAAAAAAAGAGGUAAAUGUGGUUUGUUUGAUUAUAUUUUAGAUAUUUCCUGCAUACAAAUCAAGAGCACAUUGGCCGCACAGUAUCAUGGAUCGUUUGCAUUUAGACCGAACGCAAACUAUGCAAAUAGCAAGCAAAUCAAAUGUUUAAACAGUCAAUCUAAAUCUGAGUUAAAUUAAAUGAAAAGCCGGUUUUGUUCAUAGUUCUGAGAAACGUAUAAAAUAGCUGACAAGCUUUCGAAAUGCAUCACUUCUCGUUGUUCAUUAUAACGUACACCUGCUGCUGCCUUUGACUUCACAAAAAAUGUUGGUUAAUUUGGUCCUUUUCUGUUUCUUGGCUUCGAUUAACGCAAACACUGAUUCUAGAACGAUUCUGUUGACACCGGUUUCAGUCCCUACAUUCUACACAACGGGCUACCAUUCUAAUGCAGCGGCUGCUACGGGUUCUCCGUUUGUACUUAGUUAUCCAACAAAUGCUGCAGUAACCUAUCAUACAAUCCAUGGACCACAGCUUGUUGCCCCUAGACCUUUAGCUUAUGCUGCCACUCCAACUUAUGCUGUGGCAGCUCAAAGCAAACCCGUAGACGGCAGUACCAGUGGUACAGUUCUUCCACUUCCAUUGGUCCGUUCAGCAUACACAGUUCCGGCAAACGAAUUGAUAUUUUCUCAAUAGAUUAUCUCAAACAUU